UCCAGCUCAGUGCUGCUCCGUAGG
rnacentral:piRNA from 1 species